UACGUAGGGGGCAAGCGUUGUCCGGAUUUAUUGGGCGUAAAGCGCGUGUAGGCGGCCACGCAGGUCCGCUGUGAAAACUCGAGGCUCAACCUCGAGCUGUCGGUGGAAACCGCGUGGCUAGAGUCCGGAAGAGGGGACUGGAAUUCCCGGUGUAGCGGUGGAAUGCGCAGAUAUCGGGAGGAACACCCGUGGCGAAGGCGGGUCCCUGGGACGGUACUGACGCUGAGACGCGAAAGCGUGGGAGCGAACAGG
rnacentral:rRNA from 1 species